rnacentral:rRNA from 1 species
GACGAACGCUGGCGGCGUGCUUAACACAUGCAAGUCGAACGGAAAGGCCCUGCUUUUGUGGGGUGCUCGAGUGGCGAACGGGUGAGUAACACGUGAGUAACCUGCCCUUGACUUUGGGAUAACUUCAGGAAACUGGGGCUAAUACCGGAUAGGAGCUCCUGCUGCAUGGUGGGGGUUGGAAAGUUUCGGCGGUUGGGGAUGGACUCGCGGCUUAUCAGCUUGUUGGUGGGGUAGUGGCUUACCAAGGCUUUGACGGGUAGCCGGCCUGAGAGGGUGACCGGCCGCAGGGGGCCUGGGAGACGCCCCGGACUCAUAAGGGAGGAAUGGGUGGGAAUUUUCCCAGAAGGGGCGGCCCCAGAAAGCAGAGACCCCGGGUGCGGAAUCUCGCCCUUUGGUUAGAAACCCUUUUUCGCCUGGGACAAAGCGUUAGUAAGGUAAGUAAAAAAAGAACCCCCGCCAACCUCCGC